GACGAACGCUGGCGGCGUGCUUAACACAUGCAAGUCGAACGGAAAGGCCCUGCUUUUGUGGGGUGCUCGAGUGGCGAACGGGUGAGUAACACGUGAGUAACCUGCCCUUGACUUUGGGAUAACUUCAGGAAACUGGGGCUAAUACCGGAUAGGAGCUCCUGCUGCAUGGUGGGGGUUGGAAAGUUUCGGCGGUUGGGGAUGGACUCGCGGCUUAUCAGCUUGUUGGUGGGGUAGUGGCUUACCAAGGCUUUGACGGGUAGCCGGCCUGGGAGGGUGACCGGCAAAAUUGGGACGGGAAUACGGCCCAGACCCCAACGGGAGGCAGCAGGGGGGAAAUUUGCACAAUGGGCGGAAGCCUGAUGCAGCAACGCCGCGUGCGGGAUGACGGCCUUCGGGUUGUAACCCGCUUUCGCCUGUGACGAAGCGUGAGUGACGGUAAUGGGUAAAGAAGCACCGGCUAACUACGUG
rnacentral:rRNA from 1 species